AUGCUGGGAAUGUUGAGUCAGGGACUGGCGAGGCAGGGAGUCGGGCUGGCGGCUGGCUGAAGGGAGCCUGGGCGCGAGGGGCAGGAGGAAAGCGGCGGGCGGCGGCGGCUGGGGGAACUACGGGAGCCUCUCCCGACUGCAGCAGGUCCGUCCGUCCUCCUCCUCCUCCUCCUCCUCUCGCCUCGUACCUGUUCCCCCGGCUCCUCUCGCCGCGCCGCCUCUUCUCUUCGCUGCAAUGGGCUGUCGGCGAGGCAGGAUGCUGUGAGAUCCAUGUGAGGAGGACGCGAGAGAGGGAGAGGGAGAGAGACGGAUGCAAUGAUUGGAAAGAUCUUCAGCCUGGAGAAGUCAUUUUAAGGAAUUCGUUGCCUUUUGGAAGAAUGCUGUGAAGCAGCUUGCCAACAACAGCAACUGAAAAUAGAGGUUGAAUAACCCACUUAAGUGUGAUUAAUUUCUUAUUAAGUAGUACCUCACAUUAAAAUAAAAAUGUAUGGAAGUGCAAGAACAAUCAGUAACUUGGAAGGCAGUCCUGCCAGAUCCCCUCGCUUGCCAAGAUCUCCUCGGCUGGGCCACAGGCGAACAAGUAGUGGAGGAGGUGGAGGGACAGGUAAGACGUUAUCAAUGGAGAAUAUCCAGUCACUUAAUGCCGCCUAUGCAACAUCCGGACCAAUGUACCUGAGUGACCAUGAAGGUGUGGCAUCCACUACUUUCCCCAAGGGCACAAUGACUCUUGGAAGGGCUACAAAUCGAGCUGUGUACGGUGGUCGAGUGACAGCUAUGGGGAGCAGUCCUAAUAUUGCUUCCGCUGGCCUUUCCCACUCAGACCUCCUUUCUUACACCGAUCAGCAUGGGGGGCUGACCACUUCUGCACAUCACCACCACCACCAGAUCCCUUCUAUGUUGAGACAGGUAAGGGACAGCACCAUGCUAGAUCUACAAGCUCAGCUUAAGGAGUUACAGAGAGAGAAUGACUUGCUGAGGAAAGAACUGGACAUCAAAGAUAGCAAGCUUGGUUCUUCCAUGAAUAGCAUCAAGACCUUCUGGAGCCCUGAGCUCAAAAAGGAAAGAGUGCUGCGGAAAGAAGAAGCCGCCAGAAUGUCUGUUCUGAAAGAGCAGAUGAGGGUUUCUCAUGAGGAGAACCAGUUUUUGGAUGCCAGGAGAACAAAGCACCUUCAGCUAACUAUUCAGGCACUCCAAGAUGAGCUUCGGACCCAGAGAGACCUUAACCAUCUCCUCCAACAAGAAAGUGGAAACCGUGGUGCUGAGCAUUUCACCAUUGAGCUUACGGAGGAGAACUUUCGGAGGCUUCAAGCUGAGCACGACAGGCAGGCGAAGGAGCUGUUUCUCUUGAGGAAAACCUUGGAAGAAAUGGAGCUGAGAAUUGAAACCCAGAAACAGACCCUGAAUGCCAGAGAUGAAUCCAUCAAAAAGCUUUUAGAAAUGUUGCAGAGCAAGGGGUUGCCGUCCAAAGGGAUGGAUGAUGACAACGAACGGACACGAAGGAUGGCUGAGGCUGAAUCUCAGGUUAAUCAUUUAGAGGUGAUUUUAGACCAGAAAGAGAAGGAGAACAUCCAUCUUAGAGAGGAACUGCACAGAAGGACCCAGCUUCAGCCUGAGCCAGCGAAGACGAAAGCUCUUCAGACCGUCAUAGAAAUGAAGAGACAGCCGUCUAUAUGUAUUGAUCCAGCUGUGAUAUAUCAGGACACAAAAAUAGCUUCACUAGAGCGUAAUAUCAGAGACCUUGAAGAUGAAAUACAGAUGUUGAAGACUAAUGGAGUUCUGAACACAGAAGAUCGAGAAGAAGAAAUCAAACAAAUAGAAGUUUACAAGAGUCACUCAAAGUUCAUGAAAAACAAGAUUGACCAGUUGAAGCAGGAGCUUUCAAAGAAAGAAUCAGAACUUCUUGCCUUACAAACUAAGCUUGAAACCCUUAGCAAUCAGAAUUCAGAUUGCAAGCAACACAUUGAAGUGCUUAAAGAGUCACUUACUGCCAAAGAACAGAGAGCUGCCAUACUUCAGACAGAGGUUGAUGCCUUGAGAUUACGUUUAGAAGAAAAAGAAAGUUUUCUAAUAAAAAAACCAAACAACUGCAAGACCUCACAGAAGAAAAAGGGAACUCUGGCUGGAGAAAUCCGAGAUAUGAAAGACAUGUUAGAAGUCAAAGAAAGAAAAAUCAAUGUUCUUCAAAAAAAGAUUGAAAAUCUUCAGGAACAACUUAGGGAUAAAGACAAACAGCUAACCAAUCUGAAAGACAGAGUGAAAUCGUUGCAGACUGAUUCCAGUAACACAGACACGGCUCUAGCAACGUUGGAAGAAGCUCUAUCAGAGAAGGAGAGAAUUAUAGAGCGAUUAAAGGAGCAGAGGGAAAGAGAUGACCGUGAAAGGAUUGAAGAAAUUGAAUCCUUUAAAAAAGAAAACAAAGACCUGAAGGAAAAAGUUAAUGCUUUGCAAGCAGAGCUAACAGAAAAAGAGUCUAGCUUAAUUGACCUCAAAGAACAUGCAUCGUCAUUGGCUUCAGCUGGACUGAAAAGAGACUCCAAGUUAAAGUCUUUAGAAAUAGCCAUAGAGCAAAAGAAGGAGGAGUGUAGUAAGCUAGAAGCACAACUGAAAAAGCAAGCUGAACAGUUGUUCAAUCAGAUGUACAAUCCAAUGCCAAUUAGGAAUAAUGGGAAACAAGGGGCUCAUGAAGCUGAGGAGGAGGCACGAAUGAACCCUGAAUUUGCUGACAGAAUGAAACAGCUUGACAAAGAGGCAGCCUACUAUAGAGACGAAUGUGGCAAAGCUCAAGCUGAGGUUGACAGACUUCUAGAAAUCCUCAAGGAAGUAGAGAAUGAGAAAAAUGACAAAGAUAAGAAAAUUGCUGAAUUAGAAAGCUUGACUUCCAGACAUAUGAAGGACCAAAACAAGAAGGUGGCAAACCUGAAGCACAAUCAACAAAUGGAGAAGAAGAAGAAUGCCCAGUUGCUAGAAGAAGUUCGUAGACGUGAAGAUAAUAUGACAGACAACUCUCAGCAUUUGCAGUUAGAAGAACUAAGGAAUGCCCUGGAUAAGACCAGACAAGAACUGGAUGCUACCAAAGCACGGCUUGCCUCAACGCAACAGUCUCUGGGUGAGAAAGAAGCACAUCUAGCCAAUUUAAGAAUAGAACGGAGAAAACAGUUAGAAGAGAUACUGGAAAUGAAACAGGAAGCACUACUUGCUGCCAUCAGCGAAAAAGAUGCAAAUAUUGCCUUGCUUGAACUGUCUGCUUCAAAGAAAAAGAAAACUCAAGAAGAAGUGAUGGCUUUGAAAAGAGAAAAAGACAGAUUAGUCCAUCAGUUAAAACAACAGACGCAGAACAGGAUGAAGCUGAUGGCAGACAACUAUGAUGAUGACCAUCACCACUACCACCACCACCACCACCACCACCAUCACAGAUCUCCUGGGAGGACACAACACUCCAACCACAGACCCUCUCCAGAACAGAUGAUCCAGUCACUGUUGGAGGCACAUUGCCACAGCAAAAUCUCAUGCUGUACAUUGAUCACCUGUCCAACCUUUGCCUAGAGUGCGAUCCCCAGUUCCUUCAAGAGAUCCAACUUUACCUGUCUAUAAAGAAGAUGAGGAGGGAGACAUCUGGGAUAACCAAGCAUCAGAGCAUUAACACCAGAGCAGUUAUCAAGAGGAGCUGGAGAAAGAAGCAAACGCAAGGCAGCACUGCAGGACCAUGGGAGGCGAGAGAGAAGAGGAUGAUUUGCUGCCGUGGGGAUCUGAAUGCAGUCGCCACUCUUGGAGCUCCACCCCCCAAAAGAUCACAGAAGUGGGCGGGGCACAUGAAGGUUGCCAUCAAACAAUAAGCUGCACAAACGGGUGUCCUUCUCUAUUAUUUCUUGUAAUAUGUUAUGAAGUCAGAUACUUUGGAAAACAAUUAAGGGGACUUGAUUGGAAAUUAGAAGAACUUCGUUUCCUUUAAUGGGGUCGUAUGAAUUAUUCCAAUUUUUUUUAGAAAA